rnacentral:rRNA from 1 species
AUACGGAGGAUGCGAGCGUUAUCCGGAUUUAUUGGGUUUAAAGGGAGCGUAGGUGGGAUAUUAAGCCAGCUGUGAAAGUUUGGGGCUCAACCUUAAAAUUGCAGUUGAUACUGGUUUCCUUGAGUACGGUAUAGGUGGGCGGAAUUCGAGGUGUAGCGGUGAAAUGCUUAGAUAUCACGAAGAACUCCGAUCGCGAAGGCAGCUCACCGGGCCGGAACUGACACUGAUGCUCGAAAGUGCGGGUAUCAAACAGGAUUAGAUACCCUGGUAGUCCGCACAGUAAACGAUGAAUACUCGCUGUUUGCGAUACACUGUAAGCGGCCAAGCGAAAGCGUUAAGUAUUCCACCUGGGGAGUACGCCGGCAACGGUGAAACUCAAAUGAAUUGACGGGG